GACGGAGGAUGCAAGCGUUAUCCGGAAUGAUUGGGCGUAAAGCGUCCGCAGGUGGCAGUUCAAGUCUGCUGCCAAAGACCGGGGCUUAACCCUGGAAAGGCCGUGGAAACUGAUAGAGCUAGAGUACCGUAGGGGUAGAGGGAAUUCCCGGUGUAGCGGUGAAAUGCGUAGAGAUCGGGAAGAACAUCGGUGGCGAAGGCGGCCAGCUAGACCAGUUCUGACACUGAGGCGCGACAGCGUGGGGAGCAAACAGG
rnacentral:rRNA from 1 species